UUCAGAGAGCUCCUUUCCGAGAACGUUGCGGAAGCAACAUGUCAACUCAACCGCCUCAGGAAAGCAGAUAGGAAACCUACCAUAGGAUAGGACAAACCUAGAGUCACUAAAAGCCAUGCGCCCUGAUAAGCACGAGUGCAGUGCGCGCUUUUUGUCAUGUGUGUCCUCCAGAACCUGCUGUUCACGACACGAUAGCUUUGUGAUCUUGUGGCUGUUUUGGUAGUUGCUCGUGCUCUGUGUGGCAGCCGUCCGUGGUUAACUCAGUCAGUGCUAGUUGAAGUACGGUGAAUCCCUACAGUGCAGUGUUUUCUUCCGCGAUAGCAUCUGAGAAGACGGAUUAUAUUCUUAUCAACGACUACCUUUCGUCGCGACGCUGGUCACACGAGAGAGAUCAACAACGCCAAGCGGGUCUAUGCAUGCCACGAUCACUGUCGACCAACGCAGGAGUCAAAGCUAUACACCAACAUGAUGGUCGCCGUGUGGUGUGGAAGUGAGGAUUGAAACCGGUCCAGCAGCUGCUCAGAGUCUGUUAUGCGCGCUCCCUUCUGGUCACAAGUGAGACGUCUGAGAACCCACCUUUCACAGACUCUGCGGAACAUGGCAUGCAAGCUGGCUAUACACUCCACACCAGACGAUGCACACAGAGAAUCAUUACAAAGUUCGUCUAUCUCGAACCGAUCUGCUGUAAUGUACCACGGGGCAGCGGUCGUAACGAUGUGGUUUGCAGUCCGUUGGCGGUGCAGGAAAGGUCUUUUCAACGAGUCACGAACAUUCGAUGGAGUGCUCCCACUUCGGAGCCACUUAGGUUUAUCACGUCAUCCGGUCACAGCUGCCAUUGUGCGUACGGGGACCGAAAAUCGAUCGGGGUUAGCCAAAAAUACUCCCACCCUGUCAAAUCUAUACCGGCUCAUCACCGUCAAGGUUGUCGCCAGUGCUGCCUGGAGACAGACUGCAGAAAUGCAAGGGGAAUAAUGUCCAUAUGGACUUCGUACUGGUGGUCUGUAGUAUUUCUUCAGCUAAGAAUGACGAAUGGCAAGGCACAGAUUCUACCUCUGCAGUAGAUGAAGCGGUGCAUUUUUAUUUUUAGUCUCAUUUAAGAUCGCUAAAAGUGAACGAAAUUUUUGUGCGCCGCUAGACUGUUACCACACCACAGUUGUAUCUUGCCCCUUUUCUGCACACUCGUACAACUCGUAUAGCUCAAAGUUUGUUACGAUGCGGAUAUGAACGAUGACUUCCUAACUCACGUGAUCACGAUCACGUUAGCAGGGCUACUGGUUGCUGUCAUCGGAAAAACAUGUGCA